AGCUACAUAUUAAAGAGAUUUAUUUAUAUAAAUAGGCUUGCUAGCUGAUUGUAUAUAUAUGCUGGCCGUAUUUCAUAGCAAGCUCGCUUUUAAUAGGCAACCAGUAAUAUGAGCAAUUCUUUACCUACAAGCCUAUAAUUAUAUUAACUCUAAGAGAAAUCUAAUAAUAAACGGAGUGAAUUGAAAUAUCUUAUUAACUUCAGGAAAAGAAAUCAAAAGAGAUUCUAUGAUUAGCGUGAGCUAAAAUAGAGUAGCCUAGAAAGUCAAAUGGUGGAUAAACUGUUUAAAUUUAAUGGGGAACCUUCCUCAAAGGCUAAAUAUAAUAUGUAAGCGAUAGUGGAAAGUACCGUGAGGGAACCAAAACAAAAACAGUGAUUUUAUAAGCAGUUCGGAAAAAUAAAAAAGUUAGAACGUACCUUUUGCAUAAUGGGUCACCAAGUUAACAUUAGAUGCGAGAUUCUACGUAGUUAAACCGAGCGUUAAAAUAACGGUAAGUGUCUAAAGUUAGACCCGAAGCCUGGUGAUUUUACCAUAAUCAGGAUUAUAAAAGUCCGAACGGAAUAUUGUAGCAUAAAUAUCCGAAGAAUUAUGGUAGGUGUAGUGAAAGACAAUACUGACCAGGAUAGCUGGUUUUCUGCGAAACCUAUAACAGUAGGCAAUUUAAGUAUAAUAUCUUAGCAGGUACAGAAUUUAAUCUCAGACAAGACAUAAGGCUUAACUUGUUAACAAGUUAAGCCCAUGUUUUAUUUUGUACAAAUUGGGGGAUCAUGAAGAUUUUAUCAGUGAGUAUGUAGACUCGGAAUGGCAAAGAUAUAUCUUAAAUCAUCAGACAUAGAAUGAUAAGGUUGUAUGUCAAAAGGGAAACAGCCCAGAACAAGAGUUAAGGUUCCUAAAUUAUUAGUUGAGUGAAAUUAAGAAGGUUUUUAUUAAAGUCGACAAGGAGAUAGGCUUAGAAGCAGCCAUAAUUUUAUGACCUCGUAACAGAGCGCUUGUUAAGUUUUAAAAGCAUCGAAAAUUUAUCGGAUCUAAACAAUAUACCGAAACCUUGUCCAUAUUAUUUUAUAAUUAAUAGUCUCAGCAAGCUCGGACUAUACAAUUAUAAUUAAAUGGGGUAGCAGAACGUUGAGCUAAAUUAAGAUUUUUAUUUUUUAAAUGAAAUUAUAAUAAUUUAACUCAAGUGAUAAUGGUGACAUGAGUAACUAAAAGAAAAUUUUCCGCCUAAAGCUUAUGGAUGUAAUUAAGUAACGGCCUCUAAGUUUAUGGAAUCAAAAGAUUAAAACGAUGAGACAAUCUUUCAUACUAAGGACGACAUUUUAAGUGCAAAAUGUACUGGAAAAAUAGUAAUAAGUUUAAGCUAUGGCUAGAACUAGCUAUAGCUGUAAAUGGAAAGUAACCGUACCUAGAAUCUGAAACAAGUAAGCUAGUAGAGAAUACGAAGGCGUAAAUGAGCUAACAAUCAUAAAGGAACUCGGCAAAUUGACUACCGUAACUUCGGGAUAAGGAGAGCUCAUUAUUCUUGAUUAAUAUCAGGUAAAGAGGAAGAAGCAUGAAAUAGUGUUGUACGACUGUUUAAUUAAAACACAGCACUUUGCUGAAAGAUUAAAAAUCUAAGUAUAGAGUGUGAUGUCUGCCCGGUGCCGGCUGGUUAACAGAUAUAAUUAAAUAUACUAAUAUUUGAUGUAGACGGAAACCCCGGUUAAAGGCGGCCUUAACGUGAGGGUCCUAAGGUAGCGAAAUGCCUUGGCCGUUAAAUGCGGUCUUGCAUGAAUGAUGUAACGAUACAACAGCUGUCUCUAUGAUUGACUCAGUGAAAUUGGAAUAGCUGUGCAGAUACAGUUUACCUCUAGUUAGACGAGAAGACCCUAUGCAGCUUUACUGUCACUAAUUAUAGAGUAUGAUAAACAAUUUUCAGUUUAUAAGGUAAUUGACGGCCGGCUUGCUUAGCAAGCUGGCUCUAUGACAAUGAGAAUCCUUUAUUUUUUUUUCAUAUGAAUGAAUUGGUUUAGGACGAGCUUAAGCUCGUAGUAAAUCAACCUAAUUCAGCUUAUUUUCCUUUCUGCUGUAAGCGCAUAAUGAUAGAUUAUACUUAAAUUUGGAUUUAUGCCUGCAGAAAUAGAUAAGUACCCUUGGUUAAGGAACUAUCGCUAGGGGACAGUUUAUGUGGGGCACAGACCCUGUAAAGAGUAAACAGGAGUGUCUAAUAAUUUAUAAUUAUUUUGUUUGCGAUUUAAGGUAGUAGAACUAUUUUUAAUCAUAUAAAAUUAUUUAUAUGUACAUUCGUUGUAUAUAUAUUUAAAAAAAGGUAGGAUUUUCACUAUAUAGAAAUUAGAGAUAAUAAAAAUAUUAAGUAGUAGCUGCUGAGUCCUAAUCCCGCCGAAGGGGGGAUAUGGACUACUAUGUAUUUCAUAGCAAGCUCGCACUAAUAUUUUUUAACUAUUAAGACUGGCUAUCUAGCUAUGCUCUAAUAGUUAUGUUUUAAUUAUCUAAAAAGCUCAACGGCUAAAUCUUGCCUUACUGUUUGAUUAUCAACAAAUCUUACAGUUGCGUAAGCAGGGCAUAGGAUCACAAGAUGCAACAAGGAAAGAUCUUGGAUUAUUGGAAAAGCUACGCUAGGGAUGUUUGUCCUUUAAUAUUUUAUUUCACUGUGGUAUGGGUCAUAGUCCUACGGACUCAGCUUUUUUUAAAAAAAAAAUACGAGCUUGCUAUGAAGAGCGGACUUCGUUCUAGCGAAGCUAGCCCCCUAUUCCCUAUUCCCUGACCCCCUACGGGGGUAGGGAAUUAGAGAAUCAGGAAUCAGCCAGCAUAUUUUUUCGGAGAAAAAAUCCGCCCGCUGAGACUUCGUCUACCCGUGCUAUAUUGAGAAGUAAAAAUAAUUAAUAAUAUAUUGGGUUAAUUUCAAAAAUUACUUACGCGUUGCUUUACGAGACUCCGUCUAUAAAGCUCGCUAUGUAAAUUUGAAGCGAAAUUUAUCUUAGCAUAAAUUAUAAGAUAAAGACGUUCAACGACUAUAAGGUGAGUU
rnacentral:rRNA from 1 species